AGAGUUUGAUCAUGGCUCAGGACGAACGCUGGCGGCACGCCUAACACAUGCAAGUCGAACGGAGAUGAUUUGAGUUUACUUAGAUCAUCUUAGUGGCGGACGGGUGAGUAACACGUGAGCAACCUGCCUUUGAGAGAGGGAUAGCUUCUGGAAACGGAUGGUAAUACCUCAUAACAUACAGAUACCGCAUGGUGACUGUAUCAAAGAUUUAUCACUCAAAGAUGGGCUCGCGUCUGAUUAGAUAGUUGGUGAGGUAACGGCUCACCAAGUCGACGAUCAGUAGCCGGACUGAGAGGUUGAACGGCCACAUUGGGACUGAGACACGGCCCAGACUCCUACGGGAGGCAGCAGUGGGGAAUAUUGCACAAUGGGGGAAACCCUGAUGCAGCGAUGCCGCGUGGAGGAAGAAGGUUUUCGGAUUGUAAACUCCUGUCUUAAAGGACGAUAAUGACGGUACUUUAGGAGGAAGCUCCGGCUAACUACGUGCCAGCAGCCGCGGUAAUACGUAGGGAGCGAGCGUUGUCCGGAAUUACUGGGUGUAAAGGGAGCGUAGGCGGGACGGCAAGUCAGAUGUGAAAUACAUGGGCUCAACCCAUGGGCUGCAUUUGAAACUGCUGUUCUUGAGUGAAGUAGAGGUAAGCGGAAUUCCUGGUGUAGCGGUGAAAUGCGUAGAUAUAUGGAAGAACACCAGUGGCGAAAGCGGCUCUCUGGUCUGUAACUGACGCUGAGGUUCGAAAGCGUGGGUAGCAAACAGGAUUAGAUACCCUGGUAGUCCACGCCGUAAACGAUGAGUGCUAAGUGUUGGAGGGUUUCCGCCCUUCAGUGCUGCAGCUAACGCAUUAAGCACUCCGCCUGGGGAGUACGGUCGCAAGACUGAAACUCAAAGGAAUUGACGGGGGCCCGCACAAGCGGUGGAGCAUGUGGUUUAAUUCGAAGCAACGCGAAGAACCUUACCAGGUCUUGACAUCUUCUGACAAUUCCAGAGAUGGAACGUUCCCUUCGGGGACAGAAUGACAGGUGGUGCAUGGUUGUCGUCAGCUCGUGUCGUGAGAUGUUGGGUUAAGUCCCGCAACGAGCGCAACCCUUAUUGUCAGUUGCCAUCAUUAAGUUGGGCACUCUGGCGAGACUGCCGGUGACAAACCGGAGGAAGGUGGGGAUGACGUCAAAUCAUCAUGCCCCUUAUGACCUGGGCUACACACGUGCUACAAUGGACGGUACAACGAGUCGCUAACUCGCGAGGGCAAGCUAAUCUCUUAAAGCCGUUCUCAGUUCGGAUUGCAGGCUGCAACUCGCCUGCAUGAAGUCGGAAUCGCUAGUAAUCGCGAAUCAGCAUGUCGCGGUGAAUACGUCCCCGGGCCUUGUACACACCGCCCGUCACACCAUGAGAGUUUGUAACACCCAAAGUCGGUGGGGUAACCUUUUGGAGCCAGCCGCCUAAGGUGGGACAGAUGAUUGGGGUGAAGUCGUAACAAGGUA
rnacentral:rRNA from 1 species